AACGAACGCUGGCGGCAGGCCUAACACAUGCAAGUCGAACGGUUGUAGCAAUACAGCCGUGGCGCACGGGUGAGUAACGCGUGGGAAUCUGCCCUGUAGUACGGAAUAACAGUUGGAAACGACUGACAAAACCGUAUACCGCCUUCGGGGGAAAAAUUUAUUGCUAUAGGAUGAGCCCGCGUAAGAUUAGCUAGUUGGUGAGGUACUGGCUCACCAAGGCUACGAUCUUUAGCUGGUCUGAGAGGAUGAUCAGCCACACUGGAACUGAGACACGGUCCAGACUCCUACGGGAGGCAGCAGUGGGGAAUAUUGGACAAUGGGCGAAAGCCUGAUCCAGCCAUGCCGCGUGAGUGAUGAAGGCCCUACGGUUGUAAAGCUCUUUUGUCAGGGAAGAUAAUGACGGUACCUGAAG
rnacentral:rRNA from 1 species